UUUUGUUUUUUGAUGCAUUGUACUAAAAUGUAUAUAAUAUUUGUCAAUUUCAUAUUUUGACUGCGCUACAUUUUUAUUCCAGGAGUUGUUAGGGAGCUGUGGAACUAAGUAUAGAUGGGUCCAUGGCCCAGCAAACAGUCUCUGAGUGCCUCAGGCAAGUGUCUGAGUCAGCCUCAUAUAUUGUCUAAAUUUAUAAAAUUUCCACAAAACCGACACGAAAGGACUCUUAUUAAAGAACAAAUCAAAUAAUUAAACAACUACUAACUCGCUAGAGCUGCCAUAACCAACACUGCAUCACGCAUGGAAGAUUAACUACCAAAUAUAUGUUAUCGGAAAAUAAAACAUUAUUACAAUCAUUUU
rnacentral:lncRNA from 1 species